GUGUUUGCUUUGGCAGCACAUAUGCUAAAUCUAGAAUGAUAUAGAGAAGACUAACAUGACCCCGUGCAAGGAUGACACAUUUGUGAAGCGUUUCAUAUUUUU
ensembl:snRNA U6 U6 spliceosomal RNA